GAUGUGGAUACCUACAUGAUAGAGUUCCACAAAUUAUCUUCAAGGUGCCGCCGACUUUAGGAGACAGACCAGCAACGGGUUAUGAGAUAUAUCAGCGGGCUAAGUACUGAGAUCCAACUAGAGUUGGCUAACACUGAUUUUAGGUCCGUUGAUGAGGCAGCAGCUUAUGCCAAGACAACUGAAGAGAACUCCUUUUAUCGGAAGGGUG